CGGAAGGUGAUUCUUGUGUUCUACAUAUCUGAUGAGGAAAUUCAGCAUUAAUGUGCCAGAUGAUGGUACAUUGGUGUGCACUUUUCUUCUAGUAAGACGUUGCGAUCCAUUAGAAAAGCAAUAUAAAUCUGUAUAUAGGCCCAAAUAGGAGUUUAUACAUUAAGCGAGUAACAUGGCUUUGUUGUUAUGUGAAUGCGUGUAAACUAUUUGGUGUUCUUACAGAUGUCUGAUGGUAUAUUGACGAGUGUCACAUGCAAUUCCUUGUGAAUUGACAUUCUUUAUGUGGAUGUAAUGUGUACAUUAUCAGCAACGUUUUAGAUUUAGGAUACCAUCAGGACCCGUCUUGAAACACGGACCAAGAAGUCUAACUUGUAUGCAAGUCAAUGGGAUUAUUAAAACCUAUAGGCGAAAUGAGAUUAACUUGUUACAAUGGGAUUACAAAUGGUGUAUUAAUUAUACUGUUUUUCCAUCCCCGGGUAUCUUAAUGUAAGUACUGUAAUUUCGGUUGCGUGUACUACAAAGAUAUACCGUGAGCAUACAAGCUGUGACCCGAAAGAUGGUGAACUAUGCCUGAUCAGGUUGAAGUCAGGGGAAACCCUGAUGGAAGACCGUAGCAAUUCUGACGUGCAAAUCGAUUGUCAGAGUUGGGUAUAGGGGCGAAAGACCAAUCGAACCAUCUAGUAGCUGGUUCCCUUCCGA
rnacentral:rRNA from 1 species